GGGCUGUGUAUAGAGGUGGGCUGUGUAUAUAGAUGGGCUGUGUAUAGAGGUGGGCUGUGUGUGUAGAGGUGGGCUGUGUGUAUAGAGGUGGGCUGUGUAUAGAGGUGGGCUGUGUGUAGAGGUGGGCUGUGUGUGUAGAGAUGGGCUGUGUAUAGAGAUGGGCUGUGUAUAGAGGUGGGAUGUGUGUAUAGAGGUGGGCUGUGUAUAGAGAUGGGCUGUGUAUAGAGGUGGGCUGUGUGUAUAGAGGUGGGCUGUGUAUAUAGAUGGGCUGUGUAUAGAGGUGGGCUGUGUAUAGAGGAGGGCUGUGUGUGUAGAGAUGGGCUGUGUAUAGAGGUGGGCUGUGUGUGUAGAGAUGGGCUGUGUGUGUAGAGAUGGGCUGUGUGUAGAGAUGGGCUGUGUGUAGAGAUGGGCUGUGUGUGUAGAGAUGGGCUGUGUAUAGAGGUGGGCUGUGUAUAGAGGAGGGCUGUGUGUGUAGAGAUGGGCUGUGUAUAGAGGUGGGCUGUGUGUGUAGAGAUGGGCUGUGUGUGUAGAGAUGGGCUGUGUGUAGAGAUGGGCUGUGUGUGUAGAGAUGGGCUGUGUGUGUAGAGAUGGGCUGUGUGUGUAGAGAUGGGCUGUUUGUAUAGAGGUGGGCUGUGUGUGUAGAGGUGGGCUGUGUGUAGAGAUGGGCUGUGUGUAUAGAGAUGGGCUGUGUGUAUAGAGGUGGGCUGUGUGUAGAGGUGGGCUGUGUGUAUAGAGGUGGGCUGUGUGUAUAGAGAUGGGCUGUGUGUAUAGAGAUGGGCUGUGUGUAGAGGUGGGCUGUGUAUAGAGGUGGGAUGUGUGUGUAGAGAUGGGCUGUGUGUGUAGAGAUGGGCUGUGUGUAGAGAUGGGCUGUGUGUAGAGAUGGGCUGUGUGUGUAGAGAUGGGCUGUGUGUGUAGAGGUGGGCUGUGUGUGUAGAGAUGGGCUGUGUGUAGAGAUGGGCUGUGUGUAGAGAUGG